AAUACGACGUCACUUGCUAGGAGGAGACAACGAGUUACGAAUCAAUGAGUCAAUACCGAGUUCAUGUUUCACUCAGAGUUGGGGAGACUUGCCAUUGAAAGAGAACGACUCCGAGGAUAUGUUAGUCUACAGUGUCCUCAACGACGCCUUUGAAACGCCGUCGCCGUCAUCGGACUUGAGCUGUCUCAGCGAUUUUAACUAUUUUCCGGCGGUUAAAACAGAAUCUUUGGAUACUUUCGCAGCGGUGGUUGAAAAACCGAAGGCGGUGGCGGCGCCGCCGGGGAAGGGAAAGCAUUACAGAGGGGUGAGACAGAGGCCGUGGGGGAAAUUCGCGGCGGAGAUACGUGAUCCGGCG
rnacentral:lncRNA from 1 species